GGCAUUGGCAACAAAUACUUUUUUAUUUUCAAAACCAACUGCACAAAAUAAUAAUACAGAUUUUCGGUUACAUGAAAUACCAUGGGUUAUUAUUAUAAUAGGCUAUUUAUAAUCCAUCUGCUCAGUGCAACCUCAAACCCAGGCUCCUACAUGCAGGCUGACCGAACUAUGUUUUCUAAUUUCAUAAUUCGACAUAGUCGAUAUUUUUGUUCGAUAUCAAUAUAUUGAUUUUUUCAUAUCACAGCAGCCUACUAAAACCCCAAAUAGUUUCAAUUUAUCUCGUCUUACUUAUGAGGCAGCACAUUGUCAUGCAUACUCAUAUGAUAUUCAAGGUCAGUGGCAAUUUCAAACUCGGCAUCGCAGACACAACAGAUAUAACCAAUACCAUUCCAAUUCCUUACAGACAUCACAUUGGUAGGACGUAUGAUGGUCUUUGGCCUUGUGUUGAUAUAAACUUUCAAUAUCAGGGAACUGUUUAUUGCAUUUGUCACAGACAAAAUGAUCAUCACUAAGUAUCUCACUAGCAUGUCCUUGUCCUUGUGAUUGAAUAAUUUCCCUACCACAACUGUUGCAGAAUAAUAAGCCAUCUCUUGAAUGUACUCUCCAGUGACGUUUUAGAUGUUUACGUUGUGCGAAUAUUUUCUUACACUUAGCACACUCAAAACACUGCUUUACCUUGUGUGCUGAUAUUUUAUGUUGUGUUAAACUGUGUGAUUCUGAAAAUUUUGUGUUCCAAAUGUUAUAUUCAUAAGGUCUAUCUCCUGUAUGUGUUCUCUUAUCAACAGCUAAGUAGUCUGAAUACAAAAAUCUUUUGUUGCAAACAUCACAUUCACAAGGUUUCUCUCGAGUGUGUGUUCUUUUAUGGGAAGCUAAGUGGCUUGAUUGUGAAAAUCUCCUCUUACAAACAUCGCAUUCAUAAGGUUUGUCUCCAGUAUGUGUUCUCUUAUGAAUGGUUAAAGUGCUUGGGUGUGAAAAUCUUUUGUUGCAAACAUCACAUUCGUAAGGUUUAUCUCCAGUAUGUGUUCUUUUAUGACUUGCUAAGUGGCCUGACCGUGAAAAUCUUUUAUUGCAAACAUCACAUUCAUAAGGUUUGUCUCCAGUGUGGGUUCUUUCAUGUCUAGCUAAGUCGCCUGACCGUGAAAAUCUUUUGUUGCAAACAUCGCAUUCGUAAGGUUUCUCUCCAGUAUGAUUUCUCUUAUGAACCGUUAAGUUGCUUGACUGCGAAAAUUUUUUAUUGCAAACAUCACAUUCAUAAGGUUUGUCUCCAGUGUGGGUUCUUUCAUGUCUAGCUAAGUCGCCUGACAGUGAAAAUCUUUUGUUGCAAACAUCGCAUUCGUAAGGUUUCUCUCCAGUAUGAUUUCUCUUACGAACCGUUAAGUUGCUUGACUGCGAAAUUUUUUUAUUGCAAACGUCACAUUCAUAAGGUUUGUCUCCAGUGUGGGUUUUUUCAUGUUCAGCUAAAUCGUCUGACCGCGGAAAUCUUUUGUUACACACAUCACAUUCAUAAGGUUUGUCGCCAGUAUGUGUUCGUUUGUGUGCCACCAAAUUUCCUUUUGUUGAAAAUACCUUGUUAGAAACCUCGUAUUUCCUAGACAUGGUUUCAGCUUUUGAUCUUUUCCCCGUACGGUCAAAUAUCGAUAAAAAUAUCAACAAACCGUUCCUUCGAGUCUGCUUUAACGGAAUCUUUAUAACACUUCGGCUCUUACAGAAUUUCUGAUCAUAAAAAUGAGAAUAUUCACAGACACAGAUUGCAAGCAACACGAGUAUCAAAAUAUGGCGCCCAAAAAUAAUCCACGCGGUGUUUCCACUUUACAAAAACAAAAAUUAUUGCAAACUCGUCCCCAGGGUCAGGCCCAACCUCGUACCCAG
rnacentral:lncRNA from 1 species